GUCUGUGAUGCACAAAAGGGUCAUCAAACAGUCGCUAGCAAAAAUUUGAUUGGCUUCUGUGUUUUGCUUAAUAAAAAAUUCUGAAAUGCUUGGAGUUGCAUACUUACUUCUUUUGGCUUCUUUCGUGUUUUUUGUCCGAAGGUGCUGAGUGAUGUCACAGCGGCCACCACGAGCCAUUGAAGAAUGUGCUCCCCAAGUGUGGCAAUAAUGUGGCUUAUCAGGAGUUUCUUAACGACUUAGCUUCUCCUUGCGCUGCAACUCCCUGACGACUGCAAGGAUGACGCAGCAGCGACUCAUGGCUGAAUCAUAUUGUCAACGUCUGGGUGAUGAGCCACGCAGAGCAGCGACGGAAGAGCGAGAGCUGUGCUUCCUUCAUUUAAAUUCCAGCUUCUCUCUGAAGCUGGAAAAACACUUCUAACAUUGCCCGACCGUCGUGUUCAGCCGAACCUAUGGGCCCCGUCACUCCGGAUAGCUGUCUGUGACAGUGGGCCUGCCCUCUGAUUCAGAGCAGCCUGCUUUUUAAAAAAUCAGACUUAUAUAAAUGCAAUACAAAAAGGGAAAUAAAAAUAUGUUCGCAGGCUGGUUGCUGGCACUGAGGUUAAUGCAGCAGCCCUUCACCCAGAACAAGUCAGGAAAAAGGAUUUUUAGGAUCUAAAUGAGAAGCAUACAAAGACAGAUGAUCUCAUUGGAGCCAAAGCAAUGGGAACAGUUGAAUGUUGCACAGGCAUCCCUGGCACCCUGUGUCUGCUAAUUUUUCCUAGUUUUAGCCUGACAAUAAACCUCUGCUUCGCCACACUGUGCGGCUGCUCUCACUGUUUCUUCAAGGCAGGCUUCCAGUAACCGGGCUGCUCCUCACAGGUACCGCAGACUGGAUUCCCCCUAACUCUUUAUCUCACCGUCUAACAAAGUUGUACCCUGAGCAUCACCUGCUUUUGCAAAUUUUAAUCCAGUUUGAAAAUGACACGCAGCCACAGCAGUUUAAAUGCCCUACAGUUUAUAAUCCCCACUUCAAUAAAAAGUCGAGGCAUCAGACACAAAAUCUCUCUCCAUGCAGAAUUUAAUGUUAUAAUCUGAGGGGCUCUCAUUUAGGAAGAAGGAUAACAUGUCUACUGCAGGUGUCAUUACCACUCAAACGAUCCCCCAGAUGUUGAGUCAUUAUACCACUGGCGGCUCUGUUUCCCAAGCUGCUUCUACUGCUUAAGUCUCUGGGGAUCCUAUAUGUUACCACAAUGCAAAUAAUUAUUAACAGUCAUUGCACUGGGUAGCACCAGGUAUAGCACAUGCAAGCAAUGUCUAAGACGCCUUAUCCAGCUCUCCCACGGCUUUCUUUCCAGAUGUGUAAUACCAGAUGUUAUAGCUCUCUCUCUAGUCCCAAGCAGUGAUGUGAAAAUGCCUUUUUUGUCCCAAGCAGAGCCUCAAAGCUAAAGAAUCUGCUCAGACUUUGGAAGACUGAAUAUGAGAGCAGCAGCAUCAACCACCUCUUCAUCCAGGCAGGCCCUCCAGAGUAAAUGGUACCACUUAUGGAUGGUAGGUAUGGGAGAACAAGUUCCCCUCCAUCAGCACUGCUGCGGGGGGCUGGGAUGGUAUGAGAGCUAAGGCACACGGCUGAUAGCCCAGACGAUGUGAGGUGGAGGUCACAGCAGACGCACUCGCAGCACGGCUAUGUCAGGUUCCAGUGAAUUUGCAGAUUCUGCUAAAUACCUUGUUACAAGGACA